rnacentral:rRNA from 1 species
CAGGUUUGAUACAUGGCUCUUGAUUGAACAGUGGCGGCAUGCUUUACACAUGCAAGUCGAACGGCAGCGGGGGCUUCGGAGCCUGCCGUACGAGUGGCGAACGGGUGAGUAAUGCAUCGGAACGUACCCAGUGGUGGGGGAUAGCUCGGCGAAAGCCGGAUUAAUACCGCAUACGCCCUGAGGGGGAAAGUGGGGGAUCUUCGGACCAGCACGCCAUUGGAGCGGCCGAUGUCGGAUUAGCUAGUUGGUGAGGUAAAGGCUCACUAUAGGCGACGAUCCGUAGCUGGUCUGAGAGGAUGAUCAGCCACACUGGGACUGAGACACGGCCCAGACUCCUACGGGAGGCAGCAGUGGGGAAUUUUGGACAAUGGGCGCAAGCCUGAUCAAGCCAUGCCGCGUGAGUGAAGAAGGCCUUCGGGUUGUAAAGCUCUUUCAGUCGGGAAGAAUAAGGCGGGCUCUAACAUAGCCUGUUGCUGACGGUACCGACAGAAGAAGCACCGGCUAACUACGUGCCAGCAGCCGCGGUAAUACGUAGGGUGCGAGCGUUAAUCGGAAUUACUGGGCGUAUAAGCGUGCGCAGGCGGUUUGCUAANACAGGUGUGAAUCCCCGGGCUUACCUGGGAGCAGUCGCUUGUGACUGGCAAUGCUAAAGUACNGCAGAGGGGGGGGAAUUCCCCGGUAGCAGUGAANUGNGAGAGAUGUGGAGGACCCCGAUGGCGAAGGCAGCCCCCUGGNCCUGUACUGACGCUCAUGCACGAAAGCGUGGGGAGCAAACAGGAUUAGAUACCCCGGUAGUCCACGCCCUAAACGAUGUCAACUAGUCGUUCGGAGCGGUAACGCACUGAGUGACGCAGCUAACGCGUGAAGUUGACCGCCUCAGGGAGUACGUUCCGCCAGGUUAAAACUCAAAGGAAUUGACGGGGACUAACAAGCGGUGGAUGAUGUGGAUUAAUUCGAUGCAACGCGAAAAACCUUACCUACCUUUGACAUGGCAGGAAGGCUCCAGAGAUGGGGCUGUGCUCGCAAGAGAACCUGCACACAGGUGCUGCAUGGCUGUCGUCAGCUCGUGUCGUGAGAUGUUGGGUUAAGUCCCGCAACGAGCGCAACCCUUGCCACUAAUUGCCAUCAUUGAGUUGGGCACUUUAGUGGGACUGCCGGUGACAAACCGGAGGAAGGUGGGGAUGACGUCAGUAGUCCUCAUGGCCCUUAUGGGUAGGGCUUCACACGUCAUACAAUGGUCAGGUACAGAGGGCUGCCAAGCCGCGAGGCGGAGCCAAUCCCUACAAAGCCGAUCGUAGUACCCGGAUCGCAGUCUGCAACUCGACUGCGUGAAGUCGGAAUCGCUAGUAAUCGCGGAUCAGCAUGUCGCGGUGAAUACGUUCCCGGGUCUUGUACACUCCGUCACACCAUGGGAGUGGGUUUCACCAGAAGUAGGUAGCUUAACCUUCGGGAGGAGAGUUAUU